rnacentral:rRNA from 1 species
UGGGGAAUUUUGGUCAAUGGGCGAAAGCCUGAACCAGCAACGCCGCGUGGGUGAUGAAGGCCUUCGGGUUGUAAAGCCCUGUCGGGAGGGACGAAACCUGCGUUUAACGGACGCAGCUGACGGUACCUCCAAAGGAAGCACCGGCUAACUCUGUGCCAGCAGCCGCGGUAAUACAGAGGGUGCAAGCGUUGUUCGGAAUUACUGGGCGUAAAGCGCGUGUAGGCGGCUCGUUAGGUCCUGUGUGAAAGCCCCGGGCUCAACCCGGGAAGUGCGCAGGAUACCGGCGGGCUGGAGUGUCGGAGAGGGUGGCGGAAUUCCCGGUGUAGAGGUGAAAUUCGUAGAUAUCGGGAGGAACACCUGUGGCGAAGGCGGCCACCUGGACGAUAACUGACGCUGAGACGCGAAAGCGUGGGUAGCAAACAGG